rnacentral:rRNA from 1 species
GACAGAGGAUGCAAGCGUUAUCCGGAAUGAUUGGGCGUAAAGCGUCUGUAGGUGGCUUUUUAAGUCCGCCGUCAAAUCCUAGGGCUCAACCCUGGACAGGCGGUGGAAACUACCAAGCUGGAGUACGGUAGGGGCAGAGGGAAUUUCCGGUGGAGCGGUGGAAAUGCGGUAGAUAUCAGGAGGAACGCCGGUGGCGAAGGCGGCUACCUGGACAGAAACUGACGCUGAGGCACGAAAGCUAGGGGAGCAAACAGG